AAAAUGGCUCUUUUCAGAGCCAUGCACUCCCUGCAGUGAGGUGUGU
rfam:Stegodyphus mimosarum contig113927, whole genome shotgun sequence.